UACAAAGCACUCAAGAUUGCCCAAAGCGCAGUCACAUUAUUGCACAGUGCAGAAGUAGCGGGCUGCAUUGUGAAGGACUUCCCAGCAUGAAGAGGGGUGUACUCUGUGUCCCUGGGGUGUCCCACACACAGCUAAGCCACCUCCCUCUGCGCUGGCUCCUUCUACUGGACCUUGGAUCACUGUCUGAACCUUCCUGGCUGUGUAGAUUGUCCUCCCUGGGAGUCAGCAGAAGCG
rnacentral:lncRNA from 1 species